GGUUAAGCGACUAAGCGUACACGGUGGAUGCCCUGGCAGUCAGAGGCGAUGAAGGACGUGCUAAUCUGCGAUAAGCGUCGGUAAGGUGAUAUGAACCGUUAUAACCGGCGAUUUCCGAAUGGGGAAACCCAGUGUGAUUCGUCACACUAUCAUUAACUGAAUCCAUAGGUUAAUGAGGCGAACCGGGGGAACUGAAACAUCUAAGUACCCCGAGGAAAAGAAAUCAACCGAGAUUCCCCCAGUAGCGGCGAGCGAACGGGGAGGAGCCCAGAGCCUGAAUCAGUGUGUGUGUUAGUGGAAGCGUCUGGAAAGGCGCGCGAUACAGGGUGACAGCCCCGUACACAAAAAUGCACAUAUUGUGAGCUCGAUGAGUAGGGCGGGACACGUGGUAUCCUGUCUGAAUAUGGGGGGACCAUCCUCCAAGGCUAAAUACUCCUGACUGACCGAUAGUGAACCAGUACCGUGAGGGAAAGGCGAAAAGAACCCCGGCGAGGGGAGUGAAAAAGAACCUGAAACCGUGUACGUACAAGCAGUGGGAGCACGCUUAGGCGUGUGACUGCGUACCUUUUGUAUAAUGGGUCAGCGACUUAUAUUCUGUAGCAAGGUUAACCGAAUAGGGGAGCCGAAGGGAAACCGAGUCUUAACUGGGCGUUAAGUUGCAGGGUAUAGACCCGAAACCCGGUGAUCUAGCCAUGGGCAGGUUGAAGGUUGGGUAACACUAACUGGAGGACCGAACCGACUAAUGUUGAAAAAUUAGCGGAUGACUUGUGGCUGGGGGUGAAAGGCCAAUCAAACCGGGAGAUAGCUGGUUCUCCCCGAAAGCUAUUUAGGUAGCGCCUCGUGAAUUCAUCUCCGGGGGUAGAGCACUGUUUCGGCAAGGGGGUCAUCCCGACUUACCAACCCGAUGCAAACUGCGAAUACCGGAGAAUGUUAUCACGGGAGACACACGGCGGGUGCUAACGUCCGUCGUGAAGAGGGAAACAACCCAGACCGCCAGCUAAGGUCCCAAAGUCAUGGUUAAGUGGGAAACGAUGUGGGAAGGCCCAGACAGCCAGGAUGUUGGCUUAGAAGCAGCCAUCAUUUAAAGAAAGCGUAAUAGCUCACUGGUCGAGUCGGCCUGCGCGGAAGAUGUAACGGGGCUAAACCAUGCACCGAAGCUGCGGCAGCGACGCUUAUGCGUUGUUGGGUAGGGGAGCGUUCUGUAAGCCUGUGAAGGUGUACUGUGAGGUAUGCUGGAGGUAUCAGAAGUGCGAAUGCUGACAUAAGUAACGAUAAAGCGGGUGAAAAGCCCGCUCGCCGGAAGACCAAGGGUUCCUGUCCAACGUUAAUCGGGGCAGGGUGAGUCGACCCCUAAGGCGAGGCCGAAAGGCGUAGUCGAUGGGAAACAGGUUAAUAUUCCUGUACUUGGUGUUACUGCGAAGGGGGGACGGAGAAGGCUAUGUUGGCCGGGCGACGGUUGUCCCGGUUUAAGCGUGUAGGCUGGUUUUCCAGGCAAAUCCGGAAAAUCAAGGCUGAGGCGUGAUGACGAGGCACUACGGUGCUGAAGCAACAAAUGCCCUGCUUCCAGGAAAAGCCUCUAAGCAUCAGGUAACAUCAAAUCGUACCCCAAACCGACACAGGUGGUCAGGUAGAGAAUACCAAGGCGCUUGAGAGAACUCGGGUGAAGGAACUAGGCAAAAUGGUGCCGUAACUUCGGGAGAAGGCACGCUGAUAUGUAGGUGAAGUCCCUCGCGGAUGGAGCUGAAAUCAGUCGAAGAUACCAGCUGGCUGCAACUGUUUAUUAAAAACACAGCACUGUGCAAACACGAAAGUGGACGUAUACGGUGUGACGCCUGCCCGGUGCCGGAAGGUUAAUUGAUGGGGUUAGCGCAAGCGAAGCUCUUGAUCGAAGCCCCGGUAAACGGCGGCCGUAACUAUAACGGUCCUAAGGUAGCGAAAUUCCUUGUCGGGUAAGUUCCGACCUGCACGAAUGGCGUAAUGAUGGCCAGGCUGUCUCCACCCGAGACUCAGUGAAAUUGAACUCGCUGUGAAGAUGCAGUGUACCCGCGGCAAGACGGAAAGACCCCGUGAACCUUUACUAUAGCUUGACACUGAACAUUGAGCCUUGAUGUGUAGGAUAGGUGGGAGGCUUUGAAGUGUGGACGCCAGUCUGCAUGGAGCCGACCUUGAAAUACCACCCUUUAAUGUUUGAUGUUCUAACGUUGACCCGUAAUCCGGGUUGCGGACAGUGUCUGGUGGGUAGUUUGACUGGGGCGGUCUCCUCCUAAAGAGUAACGGAGGAGCACGAAGGUUGGCUAAUCCUGGUCGGACAUCAGGAGGUUAGUGCAAUGGCAUAAGCCAGCUUGACUGCGAGCGUGACGGCGCGAGCAGGUGCGAAAGCAGGUCAUAGUGAUCCGGUGGUUCUGAAUGGAAGGGCCAUCGCUCAACGGAUAAAAGGUACUCCGGGGAUAACAGGCUGAUACCGCCCAAGAGUUCAUAUCGACGGCGGUGUUUGGCACCUCGAUGUCGGCUCAUCACAUCCUGGGGCUGAAGUAGGUCCCAAGGGUAUGGCUGUUCGCCAUUUAAAGUGGUACGCGAGCUGGGUUUAGAACGUCGUGAGACAGUUCGGUCCCUAUCUGCCGUGGGCGCUGGAGAACUGAGGGGGGCUGCUCCUAGUACGAGAGGACCGGAGUGGACGCAUCACUGGUGUUCGGGUUGUCAUGCCAAUGGCACUGCCCGGUAGCUAAAUGCGGAAGAGAUAAGUGCUGAAAGCAUCUAAGCACGAAACUUGCCCCGAGAUGAGUUCUCCCUGACUCCUUGAGAGUCCUGAAGGAACGUUGAAGACGACGACGUUGAUAGGCCGGGUGUGUAAGCGCAGCGAUGCGUUGAGCUAACCGGUACUAAUGAACCGUGAGGCUUAACCUU
rnacentral:rRNA from 1 species